UUUUUGAGGUGUAAUUGCACAUUAGAUUUUCGUUCUAAAGGGGUGAACUGGCUUCAUCAAAAAUUCCCA
rnacentral:tRNA from 1 species